rnacentral:tRNA from 1 species
GCGGUCGUGGCGAAAUUGGUAGACGCACUGGAUUUAGGUUCCAGCGGAGAGAUCUGUGGGAGUUCGAGUCUCCCCGACCGCACCA